UACAGAGGUCUCAAGCGUUUGUUCGGAUUCAUUGGGCGUAAAGGGUGUGUAGGUGGCGCCGUAAGUCGGGUGUGAAAUUUUGGAGCUUAACUCCGAAACUGCAUUCGAUACUGCGGUGCUUGAGGACUGGAGAGGAGACUGGAAUUCAUGGUGUAGCAGUGAAAUGCGUAGAGAUCAUGAGGAAGACCAGUGGCGAAGGCGGGUCUCUGGACAGUUCCUGACACUGAGACACGAAGGCCAGGGGAGCAAACGGG
rnacentral:rRNA from 1 species